AUUGAACGCUGGCGGCAUGCCUUACACAUGCAAGUCGAACGGCAGCACGGGAGCAAUCCUGGUGGCGAGUGGCGAACGGGUGAGUAAAGUAUCGGAACGUGCCCAGUCGUGGGGGAUAACGUAGCGAAAGUUACGCUAAUACCGCAUACGAUCUAUGGAUGAAAGCGGGGGAUCGCAAGACCUCGCGCGAUUGGAGCGGCCGAUAUCAGAUUAGGUAGUUGGUUGGGUAAAGGCCCACCAAGCCGACGAUCUGUAGCUGGUCUGAGAGGACGACCAGCCACACUGGGACUGAGACACGGCCCAGACUCCUACGGGAGGCAGCAGUGGGGAAUUUUGGACAAUGGGCGAAAGCCUGAUCCAGCCAUGCCGCGUGCGGGAUGAAGGCCUUCGGGUUGUAAACUGCUUUUGUACGGAACGAAAAGGUUUGGCCUAAUAAGCUGAGCUCAUGACGGUACCGUAAGAAUAAGCACCGGCUAACUACGUGCCAGCCGCCGCCGUAA
rnacentral:rRNA from 1 species